CUCAAGGUGGAUUUUUAUCUUUGGCUAGCUCAAUUGCUUUAUCAGCAGAUCUGUCACGUUGUCCGCAGAGUCUACUCUUCGUACCUCGACAUAUUUUUUUUCGAGAUAGUCGUGUAUGAUAUAGUACCACCAUUCGAUGUGCUUUAAUUUCUGAUGAGAUCUCGACUCUUUAGCAAGUGCCAUGACUCCAUUAUUGUUGCAAUAAAGUGGUAUAGCAUCCGAUGU
rnacentral:lncRNA from 1 species